rnacentral:rRNA from 1 species
CCUACGGGAGGCAGCAGUGGGGAAUUUUGGACAAUGGGGGCAACCCUGAUCCAGCAAUGCCGCGUGAGUGAAGAAGGCCUUCGGGUUGUAAAGCUCUUUUGUCAGGGAAGAAACAGCAGCUCUAACACAGUCUGCGAAUGACGGUACCUGAAGAAUAAGCACCGGCUAACUACGUGCCAGCAGCCGCGGUAAUACGUAGGGUGCGAGCGUUAAUCGGAAUUACUGGGCGUAAAGCGUGCGCAGGCGGUUAUACAAGACAGGCGUGAAAUCCCCGGGCUUAACCUGGGAAUGGCGUCUGUGACUGUAUAGCUAGAGUGUGUCAGAGGGGGGUGGAAUUCCACGUGUAGCAGUGAAAUGCGCAGAUAUCAGGAGGAACACCAAUGGCGAAGGCACCACUCUGGGCCGAGACUGACGCUGAGGAGCGAAAGCGUGGGUAGCAAACAGGAUUAGAUACCCUGGUAGUCCACGCCGUAAACGGUGGGCACUAGGUGUGGGUUCCAACCAACGGAAUCCGCGCCGGCGCUAACGCAUUAAGUGCCCCGCCUGGGGAGUACGGCCGCAAGGUUAAAACUCAAAGGAAUUGACGG